GUAGCGCAGAGAAGCAGCUGCCCGCGGACCUAGGAAGCCAGGCCACCACUCGCUUCCCUCUUCCACCAUGGCGCCCCAGGAAAGAGGCCGAGCAGAUGUUGCCCAAUUUGCAGCUAACCCCGCACGCUCCGCGGAUCGCCUUUCUUCCGCCCUUCCCAAGCGCCGGCCUUGACUACCCGCUAAGCUCCAGGAAGGGGCGCUCCACCUGCCGCUCAAACUCGUCGAAGUCCGACAUGGCUAAGGAGGAGGAGGACGUCCCUCGAUCCGGCCUAGCUACGGUCGCACGGUGGUGGCGCUUUCCAGCCCAGGUCCUCCUCACGCAGUAGGCCGCAACAGCGCCUUCUCUGGGAGUUCGGCAACUUCCGGUGGCUGCUUCGGAUGUGAACGGAAACUCUCGGCUAUCUCCGGAAUGCCUUUCGAGAAGCGACUGGCUUUCCCCGCUGUCUACUCCCCUCCCACGAAUCAUCACAGAAGCCCUCCGGGAAAGGCUGCCUCUCUAGGAAAGUUUCGGAUUCCUACGGAAAGACUCGGAUCCUCUUUGUAACGUCAUUUCCUUUGUCUUAAAAACUAUCGUACGCCUGACGCAUGCCUUUGUAUUCCCGCUUAAAACCAAAAAAAUUAAAAAGCCAUGGCUCGUUAAAAAUAAAGUAUUUCCGCCGGAUGUUG